rnacentral:rRNA from 1 species
AUUGAACGCUGGCGGCAGGCCUAACACAUGCAAGUCGAACGAGUGGCGGACGGGUGAGUAAUGUCUGGGAAACUGCCUGAUGGAGGGGGAUAACUACUGGAAACGGUAGCUAAUACCGCAUACCAUCGGAUGUGCCCAUAUGGGAUUAGCUAGUAGGUGGGGUAAAGGCUCACCUAGGCGACGCUCCCUAGCUGGUCUGAGAGGAUGACCAGCCACACUGGAACUGAGACACGGUCCAGAAGCCUACGGGAGGAAGAAGUGGGGAAUAUUGCACAAUGGGCGAAAGCCUGAUGCAGCCAUGACGCGUGUAUGAAGAAGGCCUGCGGGUUGUAAAGUACUUUCAGCGGGGAGGCGUUACCCGCAGAAGAAGCACCGGCUAACUCCGUGCCAGCCGGCGCGGUAAGAC